rnacentral:rRNA from 1 species
UACGGAGGGUGCAAGCGUUAAUCGGAAUUACUGGGCGUAAAGCGCGCGUAGGCGGUUAGUUAAGUUAGAUGUGAAAGCCCCGGGCUCAACCUGGGAACUGCAUUUAAAACUGGCUAGCUAGAGUAUGGUAGAGGAGAGUGGAAUUUCAGGUGUAGCGGUGAAAUGCGUAGAUAUCUGAAGGAACACCAGUGGCGAAGGCGGCUCUCUGGACCAAUACUGACGCUGAGGUGCGAAAGCGUGGGUAGCAAACGGG